CCACUUUGCAAAAAGUUUGGACACCCCUGCUUUAGGUAAAGGUCAACAACCUGGCAUAUUUUCCAAUUUUCAUUAAUCAAAACUGAUCAAGAGUUGUCUAGAAUGACUACAAAAGUUCCCUCCCGCCCUUAGCAUUACUUUAGCUACAGGUAUCAAGAAAAUUAAGUGGGGAGAGUGGGGAGUCAUAAUUCAUCAAAGUACCCACGUUACCUGAAGGCAUCAUCAUUCGGGGUUGCUUUGAUAGGCUGUCUCUCACAAGUCAACACGUCUCUCGUGGAGGCUGCGCCCCUCCGCGUUAAAACACGGCCAAAAGUUUUGAAACUGAAAAAAAAAGAUCUGAAAGCAAAAAAAAGAUUUGAAAGCGGAAAAAAAAAAUUUGAAACUGAAAAAAAUUGAUCUUGAAGUGAAAAAAAAAAUUAAACUGAAAAAAUAAGAUCUGAAAGUGAAAAAAAAAAUCUUUGAACCUGAAAAUACCAACUUUGCAACUGGAAAAAUAAAAUGUUUUUUUUUCGCUUUUGAAAGUUUCAAGAACUAUUUCAAAAACUAUUUUUUUCAAUCGUUUCCUUUUUUCAGAUUGCAAAACUUUUGCCAUAUAUGCAGUAUACUUUUAACAGGACCAAGUAAACUGCCAUUUUUUUUGUUUUGUGUGCAAUGACAAAAAAACUGACAGGAAGUUGAUUGCGGCACAAGCGUCAGGCUGAGGUGCGUCGUGUCUCCGCGGCAGCUGGGAGGCGCCACUGAGGAGUGACGGGACAAUCAGCCAGAAAUGUGUGGCAAGCUCUCAGCAUUUGACAGUCAGCAUCCCGUCAUGUUGUUAGAUUGUUAUUUUGAAUUUCCGGAUCUACAUCGGAGUGACAGCGUUGAAGUCAAGGAGGAUUCGGCCUGAUUCAAGGCGGGAUUGAAGACGACCAUUUUUCUUCAACUUCAACCAACUUUUGGAGCAUCACCCUGGGAGCAGAUAAGCUCACCCUCACUAGAAAAUCUUUCAUACAAUAUACAGUCACACUAUCCGGGUAGUACAUACAUACACUGAAUAGGAGAACGGACAUUGAAGCACGGCAGCAAUAGGCUGUGAAGGGACUAUUCAACAAUGUAAUAUUUUUGAUUUACAUGAUUCAGGUGUAAUUAUAUAUUGUUGUAUAAUAGAUUAA